CCUACGGGAGGCAGCAGUGAGGAAUAUUGGACAAUGGGCGCAAGCCUGAUCCAGCCAUGCCGCGUGCAGGAAGAAGCAUCUAUGGUGUGUAAACUGCUUUUGUACAGGAAGAAACACUCCCUCGUGAGGGAGCUUGACGGUACUGUAAGAAUAAGGACCGGCUAACUCCGUGCCAGCAGCCGCGGUAAUACGGAGGGUCCGAGCGUUAUCCGGAAUCAUUGGGUUUAAAGGGUCCGUAGGCGGUUUAAUAAGUCAGUGGUGAAAUCUGGUCGCUCAACGAUCAAACGGCCAUUGAUACUGUUAGACUUGAAUUAUAAGGAAGUAACUAGAAUAUGUAGUGUAGCGGUGAAAUGCUUAGAUAUUACAUGGAAUACCAAUUGCGAAGGCAGGUUACUACUUAUGGAUUGACGCUGAUGGACGAAAGCGUGGGGAGCGAACAGGAUUAGAUACCCUGGUAGUCCACGACGUAACGAUGAUACUAGCUGUUCGGUAGCAUACUGAGUGGCGUAGACGAAGUAGAGUAAGUA
rnacentral:rRNA from 1 species